AUACUCUGGUUUCUCUUCAGAUGGCAUAAAUAUUUCACCUUUUACUAAAGACUUCCAUGGAGAGAAACAAUUGAGUCCUUAACCAAUUUUUGAGAACUUGCUUGGGAAAAAA
ensembl:snRNA U5 U5 spliceosomal RNA